rnacentral:rRNA from 1 species
GACGAACGCUGGCGGCGUGCCUAAUACAUGCAAGUCGAACGCUUCUUUCCUCCCGAGUGCUUGCACUCAAUUGGAAAGAGGAGUGGCGGACGGGUGAGUAACACGUGGGUAACCUACCCAUCAGAGGGGGAUAACACUUGGAAACAGGUGCUAAUACCGCAUAACAGUUUAUGCCGCAUGGCAUAAGAGUGAAAGGCGCUUUCGGGUGUCGCUGAUGGAUGGACCCGCGGUGCAUUAGCUAGUUGGUGAGGUAACGGCUCACCAAGGCCACGAUGCAUAGCCGACCUGAGAGGGUGAUCGGCCACACUGGGACUGAGACACUGCCCAGACUCCUACGGGAGGCAGCAGUAGGGAAUCUUCGGCAAUGGACGAAAGUCUGACCGAGCAACGCCGCGUGAGUGAAGAAGGUUUUCGGAUCGUAAAACUCUGUUGUUAGAGAAGAACAAGGACGUUAGUAACUGAACGUCCCCUGACGGUAUCUAACCAGAAAGCCACGGCUAACUACGUG